UACGAAGGGGGCUAGCGUUGCUCGGAAUCACUGGGCGUAAAGCGCACGUAGGCGGCUCUUUAUGAUCAGAGGUGAAAUCCUGGGGCUCAACCCCAGAACUGCCUUUGAUACUGAGGAGCUUGAGUCCGGGAGAGGUGAGUGGAACUGCGAGUGUAGAGGUGAAAUUCGUAGAUAUUCGCAAGAACACCAGUGGCGAAGGCGGCUCACUGGCCCGGUACUGACGCUGAGGUGCGAAAGCGUGGGGAGCAAACAGG
rnacentral:rRNA from 1 species